UAAAAUAAAAAAUAAUUAAUUUAAAUCUUCAAAAGAUUUAAAAGUCAUAUGACACGCUAAAAGGCCCUCGUGUCGUCACCCUUAAAACCUGUCCUUUUCUGUGUGUGUAUUUUUAGGUUGUAUAACUCAGUGGUUUGACCAUGAUGACCCCAGUGAUGAAAAGGGAGACAGUGAGCUCUUGGCUGACCUUCUCAAUAUAUAUCCAGGACAAAUAUGUCCAAAUCCAAUCGAUAUAGAUGUAGAGCCAGUCUCCGGCAUACCAUCAAAUAAAACCUUCUUUUACAUUGUGAGAUAUAAUUCAACAACUGGGUUUGAGUGCAUAAAUUCAAACCAAAGAGGAGUAUGUGAUGAUUAUAAGGUGCGCUUCACCUGCCCAGAGGAAUGAUGUUCAACAUGUAGGACACCCUGGUUUGACCAAGGUAAUCCAAGUAAAAUAGGAGACUCUGAGACUCUGUCAUCAAUCAUGUUGACAUACCCACUACAGGUAUGUGCUCAGCCCAUUGCUAUUGAGGUCGCAACCACUAGUGGGAUCCCUGUACUGCCGGAUGCACG